rnacentral:lncRNA from 1 species
UGACCUAACCGAACAUUAAUAGCUAGGUCAAGUUUGGGUUGACGAAUUUUUGACCUGACCUGUUUCUGACCUAACCGAACCCAAACCCCAUCCCUAACUCUACCCAUCAUAGAUAGAGCCUUCUACUCCUAACCAUCCUAUCUAUUUAAAAACUAUUGUGUUAGGCGACUACACUCCACUAAACAUGGUUUCUUACUAGAAAUAAGGGCCCCUAGAUAUUGCCAUGUACCCUC